UUCAACACUCUACGCAUUCCCUCUUUUCCCAUUUUUUGUGGUUUAAUGAAUUUUGAUAUUGUAUUUGGAUAGAAACUUGGUGGUGCCACAGCUGAAAUCAUGUCUGACCUUCUAGCUUUUAAGGCUGAUAGAAGGGUUGUGAAUAUUACCAUAAAUAGGUAAUUGAAAUUAGGGUUUUGCUUAAUUUUUUUCACUUUAGAUAUUUUUACCACUGAUUUUGAUGUUUUUCACUUUCCACUAUUAGAAGUAUUGGUACUGAACUCACUAAAGAUACAACAACAACAAACAACAACAACAACAACAAGCCUUUAUCUUACUAGGUGGGGUCGGCUACAUGGAUUGCAAGACGCCAUUGUACUCUAUCAUUUAUCAAGCUUUUAGGAAUAUUAUUAAUUAAGAUAUCGCGUUCAACAACUUCCAAGAGUGUUUUCUUAGGCCUUUCUCUACCUCUCUUAAUCGGACUUAAAGUUAUAUGUUCCACUCUUCUCACUGGUGCCUCCCUUAGUCUUCUUUGUACAUGCCCAAACCAUCUCAACCGAACUCACUAGAGAUGACUGUAGGAAAUUGUACUCUAAUUUUGGUUUGCUGUAAGUUCUGAUCUCAUUUUGUUGUUGAAAAUGGAAGUAUAUUUGUUGCUUUGGAAUGAUUUUUUUGGCUAAUGGCUAACUUGAUUAGGUUCCCUUAUGGUCAUGAGGAGCUUGCUGUAUGUGAAGACAUUGACUAGAUAUAUCUUGCAUCUCAAUUGGGUGAUGGUUUGAGUAGUUUCAUUGGUGGAUCUAAGUGGAAUGUUCUGCUAUUUUUUUUCCUUUUCCAUUUGUAACUUGUACUUGAUUUUGGCCAUUGAUUUCACAGCCUUCUUUGUAUAGUUCACUGUCGCUCUUCCCGUAGCUAUUCUUUGUAUUGCCAAUCAUUAUAAUAGUGGGCUGGAGACACUUAUAUUUCUACUUGAUGGCUUUAAUUGUGAUGCUAUUUUAGGCCUGAGAUCCCAGUUUUGGUUGCUGGUUUAGGCUCGUGCAGUCAUGAAAAAAUAUCCCCCUUAUCAGUCUAUCAUUGCUAAAUUGUCGUAUGGAGAGAGCCAGAUGCUUGACAAGGCAUUCUAAUGAGGAGGACGAGAAGAGGCUUUGCUUAGCAUUUGAGCAACAAGUUUGUAUUUCACUUUUUCUGUGGGUACCGGUAUUUCUAGCUUCAGUAGAGCAUUAGUUAGUAAAGGAAUAGCACCAAUGGAUCUUUUAUAGGUCCUGAAGGAAUAAUUUCACAUUGUCUAGGUAAGUCCUACUCUAUUCUGAACUGCCCUGUUUUGUCUAUUUGGCAGCUCCAUGAUGCUGUGUUUUUCGCAUAUAUGAGGUUAAGGGAGCAGGGGAUUCGGAACCUAAUGUGGAUUCAAAACCUAAUUAUUUUUUAUUGUAAUAAAGUCAAGAUAUAGCAAGGAAGCAUACAAAGAAAAAAUGGACAAGAAGAGAGAAUUAGCUGCAUCAAGACUGCUUGGAGAUGUCAAAAAGGAGAAAAGCAACAGAAGUGUUGAGAAAGAAGCAACUAACAAUAAACCUGCUCAAGAUGAUCAGCUUAACAUCGAGGAGUGCAAGAAUCUUAAGAAAAAGAAGCAAGAAGAAAAGGUUGUAAAGCAGAAAGUUGCUAAUAAGACAAACGAUUGCUAAUUGGUUUUCUUUAGUAGAGCAGUUGUGAGCAUGAUUUCGUUGAGGAAGAAUGUCCUACUAAACCUAAAGAUCCAUCAUCCAUGAAGCUUUUAACAAUAUCGCCUGCAAGUGUGGAACAAAGAAAUACAGUUUGGAAUGCCAGAGUGCCUCUUCUCAAGCCAAGUUCAUUUAGCAAGUGGAUGUAUGCAAAAGUGCACACUUCAAGCCUAUGAAAAUUGAGAAAUUAUAGAUUAUGUAAAUUGGCAUGUGCCUCUACGUCAGGUCCAACAAGCAAUUCAGGGAAGUAGGGAUAACCAAGCAUCCUUCUAUGUGGGGGUAGAGGCAUCCAUGAGUUAUCUAUAGGAUAAUAAUGUAUUAUAUUAGGUUUUUUACAUGAUUAAGUUAUUAUUUAUUACCUUCAAAAAAUGCUAAAUUAGUAAUGUCUUGAAGAUAUUCUCCAUUAGGAUUAUAAUGAGUUA